AACCAACAGGGAUUGCCUUAGUAGCGGCGAGUGAACAGGCAAGAGCUCAGAUUUGAAAGCCUUUCGGGGCAUUGUAUUCUGAAGCCUUGGUCUCGGGAACCGGUGCUUAAGUCUUCUGGAAAGGAGCGCCAUGGAGGGUGAUAGCCCCGUGAAGCACCAUACCCAUUUUGGGACCUUGGCAUGGAGUCGAGUUGUUUGGGAAUGCAGCUCAAAUGGGUGGUAUGCUCCAUCUAAAGCUAAAUAUCUGCGAGAGACCGAUAGCGAACAAGUACUGUGAAGGAAAGAUGAAAAGAACUUUGAAAAGAGAGUGAAAUAGUACGUGAAAUUGUUGAAAUGGAAGGGUAGGCCGCUAACCACGUAGAGUCGUGUCUAGGGGGAGGAUAAAAGCUGCAACCUACAUCCUCUUCGGAGUGGUGUCGGCGCGGUGCAUACUCCCACCCGGGCGCGAGGAUCGAAGACUCUACUAAAUGGUGGUCUACCACCCGUCUUGAAACACCGACCA
rnacentral:rRNA from 1 species